GAUGAAGAACGUAGCGAAAUGCGAUAAGUAGUGUGAAUUGCAGAAUUCAGUGAAUCAUCGAAUCUUUGAACGCACAUUGCGCCCUUUGGUAUUCCAAAGGGCAUGCCUGUUCGAGCGUCAUUUGUACCCUCAAGCUUUGCUUGGUGUUGGGCGUCUUGUCUCCAGUUCGCUGUAGACUCGCCUUAAAGUAAUUGGCAGCCGGCCUACUGGUUUCGGAGCGCAGCACAAGUCGCGCUCUCUUCCAGCCAAGGUCAGCAUCCACAAAGCCUUUUUUCAACUUUUGACCUCGGAUCAGGUAGGGAUACCCGCUGAACUUAAGCAUAUCAAUAAGCGGAGGA
rnacentral:misc_RNA from 1 species